rnacentral:misc_RNA from 1 species
GUUUCCGUAGGUGAACCUGCGGAAGGAUCAUUAAAGUUAUAGUCCCCCGGCCCCUCCGGGCUGGGGUCUUCUAUACCACCCUUUGUUUAUUACACUUUUGUUGCUUUGGCAGUCCUGCCCUCGGGCUGCUGGCUCCGGCCGGCUCGUGCCUGCCAGAGGACCUAAACUCUGUUUGUAUAUGAAGUCUGAGUACUAUAUAAUAGUUAAAACUUUCAACAACGGAUCUCUUGGUUCUG